rnacentral:rRNA from 1 species
UGGGGAAUAUUGCACAAUGGGCGAAAGCCUGAUGCAGCGACGCCGCGUGAGGGAUGACGGCCUUCGGGUUGUAAACCUCUUUCAGCAGGGAAGAAGCGAAAGUGACGGUACCUGCAGAAGAAGCGCCGGCUAACUACGUGCCAGCAGCCGCGGUAAUACGUAGGGCGCAAGCGUUGUCCGGAAUUAUUGGGCGUAAAGAGCUCGUAGGCGGUUAGUCGCGUCUGCUGUGAAAAUUCGAGGCUCAACCCUCGGGCUUGCAGUGGGUACGGGCUGACUAGAGUGCGGUAGGGGUGACUGGAAUUCCUGGUGUAGCGGUGGAAUGCGCAGAUAUCAGGAGGAACACCGAUGGCGAAGGCAGGUCACUGGGCCGCAACUGACGCUAAGGAGCGAAAGCAUGGGGAGCGAACAGGAUUAGAUACCCUGGUAGUCCAUGCCGUAAACGUUGGGCACUAGGUGUGGGUCCAUUCCACGGAUUCCGUGCCGCAGCAAACGCAUUAAGUGCCCCGCCUGGGGAGUACGGCCGCAA